AGAGACAGCAGCAGCCACGGUAAUACAGAGGGUGCGAGCGUUAAUCGGAUUUACUGGGCGUAAAGCGUGCGUAGGCGGCUUCUUAAGUCGGAUGUGAAAUCCCUGAGCUUAACUUAGGAAUUGCAUUCGAUACUGGGAAGCUAGAGUAUGGGAGAGGAUGGUAGAAUUCCAGGUGUAGCGGUGAAAUGCGUAGAGAUCUGGAGGAAUACCGAUGGCGAAGGCAGCCAUCUGGCCUAAUACUGACGCUGAGGUACGAAAGCAUGGGGAGCAAACAGGAUUAGAUACCCCAGUAGUCCCUGUCUCUUAUAC
rnacentral:rRNA from 1 species